UACGAAGGGGGGCUAGCGUUGUUCGGAUUUACUGGGCGUAAAGCGCACGUAGGCGGAUCGUUAAGUUGGGGGGUGAAAUCCUGGAGCUCAACUCCAGAACUGCCCUUCAAUACUGGCGAUCUAGAGUCCGGAAGAGGUGAGUGGAACUCCUAGUGUAGAGGUGGAAUUCGUAGAUAUUAGGAAGAACACCAGUGGCGAAGGCGGCUCACUGGUCCGGUACUGACGCUGAGGUGCGAAAGCGUGGGGAGCAAACAGG
rnacentral:rRNA from 1 species